rnacentral:rRNA from 1 species
AUUGAACGCUGGCGGCAGGCCUAACACAUGCAAGUCGAACGAGCGGCGGACGGGUGAGUAAUGUAUGGGGAUCUGCCUGAUGGAGGGGGAUAACUACUGGAAACGGUAGCUAAUACCGCAUACCAUCAGAUGAACCCAUAUGGGAUUAGCUGGUAGGUAAGGUAACGGCUUACCUAGGCGACGAGCCCUAGCUGGUCUGAGAGGAUGAGCAGCCACACUGGGACUGAGACACGGCCCAGACUCCGACGGGAUGAAGCAGUGGGGAAUAGUGCACAAUGGGCGCAAGCCGGAUGCAGCCAUGCCGCGUGUAUGAAGAAGGCCUGCGGGUUGUAAAGUACUUUCAGUCGGGAGGCGUUACCGACAGAAGAAGCACCGGCGAACUCCGUGCCAGCAGCCGCGGUAAUUC